rnacentral:rRNA from 1 species
AUUUUGGACAAUGGGGGAAACCCUGCCCCAGCCAUCCCGCGGGUAUGAUGAAGGCAUUCGGUUUGUAAAGUACUUUUGGCAGAGAAGAAAAGGUAUCUCUUAAUACGGGAUAUUGUUGACGGUAUCUGCAGAAUAAGCACCGGCCACCUACGGGCAAGCAGCCGCGGUAAUACGUAGGGUGCAAGCGUUAAUCGGAAUUACUGGGCGUAAAGCGUGUGUAGGCGGUUCGGAAAGAAAGAUGUGAAAUCCCAGGGCUCAACCUUGGAACUGCAUUUUUAACUGCCGAGCUAGAGUAUGUCAGAGGGGGGUAGAAUUCCACGUGUAGCAGUGAAAUGCGUAGAUAUGUAGAGGAAUACCGAUGGCGAAGGCAGCCCCCUGGGAUAAUACUGACGCUCAGACACGAAAGCGUGGGGAGCAAACAG